UACGAAGGGGGCUAGCGUUGCUCGGAAUUACUGGGCGUAAAGGGCGCGUAGGCGGGUCGUUAAGUUGGGGUGGAAAAGCCCAGGGCUCAACCCUGGAAUUGCCUUCAAUACUGGCGACCUUGAGUAUGGCAGAGGUGUGUGGAACUCCGAGUGUAGAGGUGAAAUUCGUAGAUAUUCGGAAGAACACCAGUGGCGAAGGCGACACACUGGGCCAUUACUGACGCUGAGGCGCGAAAGCGUGGGGAGCAAACAGG
rnacentral:rRNA from 1 species